UACGUAGGGGGCAAGCGUUGUCCGGAUUUAUUGGGCGUAAAGAGCGUGUAGGCGGCCAUGCAGGUCCGUUGUGAAAACUGGAGGCUUAACCUCCAGACGUCGAUGGAAACCGUAUGGCUAGAGUCCGGAAGAGGAGAGUGGAAUUCCUGGUGUAGCGGUGAAAUGCGCAGAUAUCAGGAAGAACACCCGUGGCGAAGGCGGCUCUCUGGGACGGUACUGACGCUGAGACGCGAAAAGCGUGGGGAGCGAACAGG
rnacentral:rRNA from 1 species